GAUGAACGCUGGCGGUAUGCCUAACACAUGCAAGUCGUACGAGAGUUUUUAACUCUAGUGGCGGACGGGUGAGUAACACGUGAGAAUUUGCCUUUAGGAGGGGGAUAACAAUUGGAAACGAAUGCUAAUACCCCAUAUGCUUUUGAGUGAAAUGGAUUUUAUCCGCCUAGAGAGAAGCUCGCGGCUGAUUAGCUUGUUGGUAAGGUAAGAGCUUACCAAGGCGACGAUCAGUAGCUGGUCUGAGAGGACGAUCAGCCACACUGGGACUGAGACACGGCCCAGACUCCUACGGGAGGCAGCAGUGGGGAAGUUUUGGACAAUGGGGGGAAACCCGUGAUCCAGCAAUGCCGCGUGAGUGAAGAAGGCCUCGG
rnacentral:rRNA from 1 species